AAGAAUAGAAGAAAAAUAUAUUUGUCAUAUUUUCCCACGACAUAGAAAGAAGACAUUCAGCAUAAUUAGUUAUGAGUUCAGAGAUUAGUUUAGAGACACAGCAUUGAAACAGGCCCUUCGGCCCACCGACCAUCGAUCA